AUGACGUUACGCUCGAUGUUGGUGACGUUUUCUGAUUUCAUGUACCUCUGACCAAUAAUCGGCUUAAAAUAAGAAAAAUACCGGGAAUAUCAAAUGUUUUUUGUGUUAAAAUCUUCGGAGCACUUAAAACAUUAUUUUUACGGUGGCUUAUUAGUUUUUAUUAACUUUUGUCAAUAAGUUUCCAAAAACAAACGAGACAAAUCAUAUGUUUUUGUGUGUAGACGGGUAACAUACUUAUAUUGUUUUUGAGGGUUCCUCCUUAUUUCGGAUACCCACAAGUAAAUAAAAUAUAAAAAUUGUAUACCAUUUGGAAGAGGAACGUUAGGGCUUUGUGAUGUCAUAUUUGUAUGACUUAAUCGACACCAUUUUCGAAUUGAGUAGACCUUGGAAAAAGCCAUUUCAGCUUGUAGACACUGAAGGAAAAAUAUAAGCCCUUUGCGGCAUAACAGGUGAGAAUCCAUCGAUAGCGAGAUUAUUUGUCAUCAAAGUCUUUAUAUCAAAUAUCAUUAUGUAAAACAAACUUGGAAAAUGCUUUAAAAACAUUGAUUCCCAAUUUAAAAGAACGAAUUCAAUGAGAACUUCGACAUCAUAAUCAAAAUCAAAGCCCCGAAAAACACUGUCACAACAACGUUUAAAAAAAACCAUGCUCUACUUGAAAUUAUCAAUACCGAGUAAAAAUAUGUAAAGCAUGUUAUCUAGUCAGAAAAUACUACAUGUCCGGUAAUCUGGAACAUCUGAACGGCAUUUAUUCAUAUCGCAGUCUCUUUUUUAGCAUUACAUAAAAUCAUAUUUUGUAUAUGAGUCCCCACAGGGCUCCCGUCACAAAACUUUUAACUAACGUUUAACGUUAGUAAUUUCGAUGGUUUUUAAAGAAAACGAAAAAAAAAAAA
rnacentral:lncRNA from 1 species